GAAAUAAUACUAUACUAAACUUCUAAUUUAGUAACAAGCUAUAAAUAAGUUUAUAUUUCU
rnacentral:tRNA from 1 species